rnacentral:RNase_P_RNA from 1 species
GGAGCGGUCCAGGUGAACGCUGGCGUCUCGAACGCGAGAGGAAAGUCCGAGCUCCACAGGGCGCGAUGCUGGCUAACGGCCAGGCGGGGCGACCCGACGGAAAGUGCCACAGAAAACAGACCGCCCACGGCCGCCUUCGGGCGUCCAGGCAAGGGUGAAAAGGUGCGGUAAGAGCGCACCGCGGCGACAGCGAUGUCACCGGCACGGAAAACCCCAUCUGGAGCAAGAGCAAAUAGGGAGACACGGACGCCUUCGAGGCGCCCUUUCGGUUGCCCGCCGAACGUCUCCGGGUUGGCUCGCUCGAGGUCCAGAGCAAUCUGGACCCUAGAGGAAUGUUCAUCACCCCGACGGCCUUCACGGGUCGCCGGGGGACAAAACUCGGCUUACGGACCACUCCGAAU